rnacentral:rRNA from 1 species
UACGGGGGGUGCGAGCGUUGUUCGGAUUUAUUGGGCGUAAAGCGUGCGCAGGCGGUUCGUUAAGUUCGAUGUGAAAGCCCCGGGCUCAACCUGGGAAUUGCAUUGGAAACUGGCGGGCUUGAGUGUGGCAGAGGGGGGUGGAAUUCCACGUGUAGCAGUGAAAUGCGUAGAGAUGUGGAGGAACACCGAUGGCGAAGGCAGCCCCCUGGGCUAACACUGACGCUCAGGCACGAAAGCGUGGGGAGCAAACAGG